rnacentral:rRNA from 1 species
GACGAACGCUGGCGGCGCGCCUAACACAUGCAAGUCGAACGGGGAAGUUAGCAAUAACUUUCUAGUGGCGAACGGGUGAGUAACGCGUAGACAACCAACCUUGUAAUGGGGGACAACACUUCGAAAGGAGUGCUAAUACCGCAUAAGCUCUUCGUGUCACAUGGCGUGAAGAGGAAAGGAGCUGUAAGGCUCCGUUAUAAGACGGGUCUGCGUCUGAUUAGCUAGUUGGAGGGGUAACGCCCACCAAGGCGACGAUCAGUAGCCGGUCUGAGAGGAUGAACGGCCACACUGGGACUGAGACACGGCCCAGACUCCUACGGGAGGCAGCAGUGGGGAAUCUUCCGCAAUGGACGAAAGUCUGACGGAGCGACGCCGCGUGAGUGAUGAAGGCCCUUGGGUCGUAAAGCUCUGUCAUUGGGGACGAACGAUCACAUCAGGAAAUGGGUUGAAGUGACGGUACCCAAGAAGGAAGCCACGGCUAACUACGUGCCAGCAGCCGCGGU